rnacentral:rRNA from 1 species
UACAGAGGCCUCGAGCGUUAGGCGGAAUCACUGGGCUUAAAGCGUGUGUAGGCGGACUGGUAAGUACCUUGUGAAAUCCCACAGCUUAACUGUGGAACUGCUCGGUAUACUGCUGGUCUUGAGCCACUCAGGGGCUACCGGAACAAAUGGUGGAGCGGUGAAAUGCGUAGAUAUCAUUUGGAACGCCAAUGGUGAAAAACAGGUAGCUGGGGGUGUGCUGACGCUGAGACACGAAAGCCAGGGGAGCAAACGGGG